rnacentral:rRNA from 1 species
GACGAUCGCUGGCGGCGUGCUUAACACAUGCAAGUCGAACGGAAAGGCCCUGCUUUUGUGGGGUGCUCGAGUGGCGAACGGGUGAGUAACACGUGAGUAACCUGCCCUUGACUUUGGGAUAACUUCAGGAAACUGGGGCUAAUACCGGAUAGGAGCUCCUGCUGCAUGGUGGGGGUUGGAAAGUUUCGGCGGUUGGGGAUGGACUCGCGGCUUAUCAGCUUGUUGGUGGGGUAGUGGCUUACCAAGGCUUUGACGGGUAGCCGGCCUGAGAGGGUGACCGGCCACAUUGGGGCUGAGAUACGGCCCAGACUCCUACGGGAGGCAAAAGUGGCGAAUAUUGCACAAUGGGCGGAAGCCUGAUGCAGCAACGCCGCGUGCGGGAUAACGGCCUUCGGGUUGUAAACCGCUUUCGCCUGUGACGAAGCGUGAGUGACGGUAAUGUGUAAAGAAGCACCGGCUAACUACGUG